GACAGUUUGGCCGAGUGGUUAAGGCGCACGCCUGCGUACGUUUCUCUUCUUUAUAUCCCCUUCCCGCAACUCAACUAAUAUAUCCAUAGUAUUCCAAGUUAGCGUGUACUUUCGAGUGCGCAGGUUCGAAUCCUGCAGCUGUCG
rnacentral:tRNA from 1 species